AAAAGAAUGGCCCUGAAAGCAAAACUAGGUUCAAAGUUCAGAUGUGGGUUGUGAGAACAGAGAGGUAUGGAGGCAUAUGGACUCUUCCAGAACCCUAGGGCCCAGGAGGGUGCCAUAAACUGCUGUCUCUCACCUGUUGAUGGAGCUGACACUGGGGACAGUGUCAUUGUCACAAACGCCUUCUGCCAGGAGCCGGUCCCGGAUCUCCCAAGCAAACAUGCUGGAAAUAAGUGCAUCCAAACCUGUAUCUGGAUGUAACGCUCCCAUGGUAAAUAACGUUUAAAGAAAGACAUGGCAUCCUUUCAUUCCUGUUUUCUCAAGACUCAGGAUGGAGCAGAGAUGAAGAGAAAAAGCCACAGCCAACAGCUCAGAAAAUUAUCAAGGUGUUGAAGAUCAGAGGGCGGCAUGCUUGCAAGAGAUGGUCUUCUCCUUCCAUAGUACAAGUAUUUCCCUAGCUUACUCAGGAAAACUGAAACACCCUUUACAGCUACUUCGCAAGUCCUACUAUGUCUUCCACCGUGUUCCUCCCUUUCCUUCUACAUGCUGUAAAUAAAGAUUCUGCUCCCA
rnacentral:lncRNA from 1 species